UACAGAGGGUGCAAGCGUUAAUCGGAAUUACUGGGCGUAAAGCGUGCGUAGUCGGUUAUCUAAGUCGGAUGUGAAAUCCCCGGGCUCAACCUGGGAAUUGCAUUCGAUACUGGAUAGCUAGAGUUCGGCAGAGGGAAGUGGAAUUUCGGGUGUAGCGGUGAAAUGCGUAGAUAUCCGAAGGAACAUCAGUGGCGAAAGCGACUUCCUGGACCAGAACUGACGAUCAGGCACGAAAGCGUGGGGAGCAGACAGG
rnacentral:rRNA from 1 species